GCUGGAUGUAGUGGUCUGCUUGUAGUUCCAGCUACUUGGGAGGCUGAGGGAGGAGGAUCACUUGAGUCCAGGAAUUCUGGGUUGUAGUGUGCUAUGCCUAUCAGUUGUCUGCACUAAGUUUGUCAUCAAUUUCAUGGCCUCCUGGGAGUAGGAGACCACCAGGUUCCCUAAGGAGAGGUGAAUCAGCCCAAGUUGGAAACGGAGCAGGUCAAAACUGCCAUACCGGUCAGUAGUGGGAGCUUACCUGUAAAUAGCUACUGCACUCCAGCCUGGGCAAUGUAGUGAGAUCCUGUCUCUA
rfam:Pan troglodytes isolate Yerkes chimp pedigree #C0471 (Clint) chromosome 8, whole genome shotgun sequence.